AGGUGAGCGCCAAUACGCGCACGUACGCGGAAAGGGGAACCGCCCAUGCGCACAUAAAGGUCCUCACUCUCGCAUACGGGCUCGGCCGGCUGCUGAGAGGCAGCGCCGGCAUCCGCGUUGCGGCAAGCCUCCUGCUGUGCUGAUUGCCGGCGCGCCUGGAGCGCUGGCGGCGGCGGCGGCGUACAUUUGAUGGUGCCGCCCCCCUCCCCCUUCCUCCCUCCCCUUCCCGGGCAGCGCCGUCACCGGGCCUACGGCACGGCGCGGUUGCCGAGGUGAUGGGCAAUGCGACCUGGCCGCUGGUGGUGGGCACUGACGGAGGGGAGCUCUGUGUGGCACCUGAGCGCAUUGUGUUGCGGGGGCCGCCGAGGAAGCUGCACCACACCGCGAGGCUGCUGGAGCGUGCGAGCUGGCUGCGCUGCUGCGCGCACGGCCGCGCGCCGUGGAGGCCGUGGCGCUUAUCCCGAUUAGCCGGUGCUGGCGCGGGGGUGGGCGUGAACCACGGACCGCCACCGAGACCCCUCCAAGGCCGCCCGGUGGUGUGAGG
rnacentral:misc_RNA from 1 species